GAUGAACGCUAGCGGCAGGCUUAACACAUGCAAGUCGAGGGGUAGAAGGAGCUUGCUCCUUUGAGACCGGCGCACGGGUGCGUAACGCGUAUGCAAUCUACCUUUUGCAGAGGGAUAGCCCAGAGAAAUUUGGAUUAAUACCUCAUAGUAUAGCAGUUUCGCAUGAAACCACUAUUAAAAGUCACAACGGCAAAAGAUGAGCAUGCGUCCCAUUAGCUAGUUGGUAAGGUAACGGCUUACCAAGGCUACGAUGGGUAGGGGUCCUGAGAGGGAGAUCCCCCCANACUGGUACUGAGACACGGACCAGACUCCUACGGGAGGCAGCAGUGAGGAAUAUUGGACAAGUGGGGCGCAAGCCUGAUCCAGCCAUGCCGCGUGCAGGAUGAACGGUCCUAUGGAUUGUAAACUGCUUUUAUACAGGAAGAAACACUACGUU
rnacentral:rRNA from 1 species